GGCUUCGUGUCCCUUACCUCCUCUCCCGUCCUGGAGAAGGUUGACAUCAAUAUGGCAGCCAGCACAAGCCCCGCUAAGUGUAGUGCUAUGCCCAUUUUGCAGAUGAACUCCUGUACCUAAUGGCCUUAGGUCCUUGGAUGAGAAGAUACCCCUAGAGGCUAUUUGGUCCAGCCCUCUCCCUUACAACUAGAUGUGCAUGACCAUGAUGGAAGGAAAGGCAUGUCCUGAGUCCUUUGAAGACUGCCACAGGGCAAGAAUUCUCUGGGCAUGGAGUCUCUCCCAUAUACCACAGAGUUUCCUUGUUGCUGAAUCCAUCAGGUUUGCAUGGAAAACAAGCUUUCCUGGUGGAUGUUUUCACAGCAUAUGUGAGGAUUAGCAAAUACCAGAUCUCCACUUACCUGCUUGGAGCUCCCCCCGCCAUCACCACACAAUUCCUUGCAGGGUUGGAUUGUUACCAUCACAAGCAAUACUGUAACAACAUCCCUUUUUCCUGGUGGCUAUGAGAGGGACACUUGUGCACCUGAGGAUUAGACCCCAAAGGGCAUUUGGUCAGUGCCUUUGCCUGGAGCUGAGUUUGGACACCCUGCAUCUCCUGGGUUCCCUGUCCUUUGACCCCUGAGGUGUUGUGCAUGAACAUCAGCAACCUUGAUCAUCAGAAAGAAGCUUCCUCUGGACUGCUGGCUCCUUUGUUUGUUGCACUUAUCAGAAGGGAGGAGGGAAGAAGCCUCAGUCACCAUGCUACAAAUCUGGUGGGAGAGAUGGAAGCCCCUUUGGAGCUCAGGAGAGCUGCUUCAGGCCCCUGGUGCAGGCAAAGUUGGAUCCAGUUCAAUCCCAGUGCAGAAAUGUUAUCUGAGUUAGGUUGUGUGCCUGUGUGUGUCUCUCUCUGGGGUUAUGUCUAAAUCUUGAAUGUUUUCUCUGAUGUGUUCAUAGUUACCAUCCUAAUGCUUAGCACAAAGUGCCUAACAGAUCCUUGUUGAGUACAUGAAUAAUGAACUUAAGCCCUUAGAAGUUGUCUGCAAGAUGAGCUCAGGAUGCUUACUCCCUGGAUAUGGGGGAUAGGCUGCCCGGCCAGCUAUUUAGCUGUUUGAGACUCUUCUCUGCACUGCUGUAGCUGUGGGGUCUGGGGCCCCCACCAGGAACAACCUCUGUACAGCCUCAGAUGUGCAAAAGGGCCCUGGGGAAGGCUCUGCCGCCUAUGCUGGGGUUACCCUGGGACAGACCUAACCGCGGAGGGGAGUGUGGAGAGAGGGCACCGGCUUCCCCCUUCUCGAGGUGGAGCUGGAGGGAGUGGAGCGGGAGCUGGCGCCCAAGGUCUGGGGGCAGCACGAGCUCCGAGCUCCGAGCAAGGCUAAGCUCUGUCCAAUAUCCCAUCACCCACCGGCCCUAACUUGCUAGCUCUGCAGUAAUACUGGAACUGGGGGGAGGGGAGGCUGGGAGGGAGGAAGAGAAUUUUAA